rnacentral:rRNA from 1 species
UAGGGAAUCUUCCGCAAUGGGCGAAGCCUGACGGAGCAACGCCGCGUGAGUGAUGAAGGGUUUCGGCUCGUAAAACUCUGUUAUUAGGGAAGAACAAAUGUGUAAGUAACUGUGCACAUCUUGACGGUACCUAAUCAGAAAGCCACGGCUAACUACGUGCCAGCAGCCGCGGUAAUACGUAGGUGGCAAGCGUUAUCCGGAAUUAUUGGGCGUAAAGCGCGCGUAGGCGGUUUCUUAAGUCUGAUGUGAAAGCCCACGGCUCAACCGUGGAGGGUCAUUGGAAACUGGGAAACUUGAGUGCAGAAGAGGAAAGUGGAAUUCCAUGUGUAGCGGUGAAAUGCGCAGAGAUAUGGAGGAACACCAGUGGCGAAGGCGACUUUCUGGUCUGUAACUGACGCUGAUGUGCGAAAGCGUGGGGAUCAAACAGGAUUAGAUACCCUGGUAGUCCACGCCGUAAACGAUGAGUGCUAAGUGUUAGGGGGUUUCCGCCCCUUAGUGCUGCAGCUAACGCAUUAAGCACUCCGCCUGGGGAGUACGACCGCAAGGUUGAAACUUAAAUGAAUUGACGGGGUCAUAGCUGUUUCCUG